CUGAAAAAGUUUGAAUGCAACCCUCAACAGGACACGAGGAGAAUCAAGUUUGAAAAAUCUCUCUCCUGCACUCAAUACCAGUGGCCUAAAAUGAUAUCCAGCAGAAACAAACGGCAGCAUAAAGAGGGGCGUGGGGCUUGUUAGUCAAACAUGAACAGGUCUGCAGUCCCUCCUGAGGUGGAAUGGUCACACAGAGCAGUGCUUAAAGCACAUGGAAAUGUUGUCGAAAUGAAAAGAAAAGAGUCCUGCAUAGACUUUAGCUGGAAAGAAUCUAACCUUUCUGUAACUCGUAUGUAAAAUACUCUCCUGGGUUUUCUUCAAGAAACGGCCCUGAAGUGUGUGUGUGUGUGUGUGACAUGACUGGUACAACGUAGUGUUUCAGGAUUGUGGCCAUGGAAGCGGCAGUCUCGUGUUGAAAUAUAGAAGAACAGGGUAGCGUUUAGUUUUUGCGUCUGAAUAUACAAUAAUUAAAUGCAUUUUACAGUUGGACAGAAGCAGCUGCUCACACACAUCAAAAUGAAGACGUUCUACAUUAAUUUUUUUCUCACUACAGAGUGCAAAUCAGAUGCUUCACAACAGACCUUUUUUUAACUGAGAAGAGGACUAGCUCUUCCCACAAGCCCCCCAUUGUACAUAAACUAUUUCCCAUUCAAAUAAAAUAGACAAAAGAAAAAUUAAAUCUAGUCAAUACGGAAUGUGAGAAAAUUAAUCUUUGUGAUUCAAUCUUUUUCUUUGACAACAGAAAUAAAACAGAGUCCUUCAUGACAGUUUAAAAA